rnacentral:lncRNA from 1 species
UUCCCGGCGCAGGAGCGGGCCGCGGCCGUGACGUCAGCAGCGUGCGUCCUGAUUGUGAGGCUACGGCGCGCGCGGUCCCGCGACGCGUCCUCCCGGUUUCCUGCCCUGACUUCCUUUGAUGAUGGACUGUGAUGUGGAACAGACUCUGAAAUAAACCCUUUCUUCCCCACGCUGCUUCUGGUCAUCAUGUUUUGUCACGGCAAUGUGCCAACAUUUCCCCCAGCCUCUCCCCAGGAAGAAUAGGCUAUUGGAGUGCACUCACCAGCUUCCUGCAAAAACAUCCUAAAAAUGCCAUCUGGUUCUUUGAGCUCAGUUUAGGCAAGAGAAAUUUCCAGAUCAUUGCCAUGACUGGAAAUACUUAAUGGAUUAAGGGCAGUGACGCAGUCUGGUAAUCCCAUCACUAAACUGGCAGAGGCCAGAAACAAGGUGAUGAAAGGAUCCCCCGGAAAUUGCUGCAACGCGGCACUCACGUUGUGCCGCGGGUGUGGCUCUAAGGCCUACCACCUUCAGAGGUCAACCUGGGAUGAAUAUGGCUACCUACCAAGUGCAAGAGAAUGAAUAACUGGAGUGCCAAGGCUGAGAGAUGAAACACUACCAGGACCAGAAGGAUAAAGCACCGAGAAAUUGUCUAGCGAAGAUUCAGACAUGGAUUUUUGUGAAGGAACAACACCUAAACCCAAGAAGGCAGCUGGGACACUAGAACAGUGGUUCU